GACAGAGGUGCCGAGCGUUAGGCGGAAUCACUGGGCUUAAAGCGUGUGUAGGCGGAUCCGUAAGUACCUUGUGAAAUCCCACGGCUCACCCGUGGAACUGCUGGGCAUACUGGCGAUCUUGGGCCAACUAGGGGCAACUGGAACAAGCGGUGGAGCGGUGAAAUGCGUAGAUAUCGCUUGGAACGCCAAAGGUGAAAACAGGUUGCUGGGGUUGUGCCGACGCUGAGACACGAAAGCCAGGGGAGCAAACGGG
rnacentral:rRNA from 1 species